GGAUGGCCACAUUUUAAAGAAAUUUUUAUGGUUUCUGCAUUAACAGGGGAUGGUUUGGAAGAUGUUAAAAAUUAUUUAUUAUGUCAAGCUAAACCUGGAAAUUGGCUUUACUCAGAAGAAGUAUGGACAGAUCAACUACCUGAACAGAUCAUACAAAACACUGUAAAAGCUACAUUUUUAGACUUUCUGCCUCAAGAAAUACCAUACCGUUUAAAGCCACAAAUUGAACUCUUGGACUUUAAUAAAGAAGGUGUAAUUACAACAGA